CGCCGCCUCCUUCUCCCGCGACCGUGCCGCCCUCUCGUCCUUCCUCCCGCCUCCCUGUCGUGCCGCCCCGCCGCCUCCUCCCUCGCUUGCUUCCUCCUUUCCUCCCGCCGUUCCCCUCCCCUAACCCUAGAAACCGAGUUUGGGAAGAAGGAGGGGGCAGACAAGGGGGAGGUGCUGGAGAGGAAGGUGGAGGAGUUCUUCAGGGCCCUGAAGAAAGGGCCCGAGGAGGGGAAGGCCGACGACGCUUCGACAGCGGCGAAGAAGAAGGCGGUGUUGGGAGGGGCGCCGAGGCAGGUGAAGCGGGAUGCGGAGAGGGAGGAAGAAGACUGGCCGCGGCCGCACCUCGCGAGCACGAGGAUGGAGCUGCCGCCAAGGUGGGACGGGCCAAUAGGGACCGUCGUGCUCAUCGACAAGCCCAAAGGGUGGACCUCAUUUACUGUUUGUGGAAAACUACGGCGGUUGGUGAAAGUGCAAAAGGUUGGCCAUGCUGGUACUCUGGAUCCUAUGGCCACUGGAUUGUUGAUUGUUUGUGUGGGCAAAGCAACCAAAGUUGUUGAUAGAUAUCAAGGCAUGGUUAAAGGCUAUAGUGGUGUUUUCCGGCUUGGG
rnacentral:rRNA from 1 species